GGAGGAAAGUAGGGGAUCGCAAGACCUUGCGCUUCUAGAGCGGCCGAUGUCUGAUUAGCUUGUUGGUGAGGUAAAGGCUUACCAAGGCUUCGAUCAGUAGCUGGUCUGAGAGGACGGCCAGCCACACUGGGACUGAGACACGGCCCAGACUCCUACGGGAGGCAGCAGUGGGGAAUUUUGGACAAUGGGGGCAACCCUGAUCCAGCCAUGCCGCGUGAGUGAAGAAGGCCUUCGGGUUGUAAAGCUCUUUCAGCCGAAACGAAACGGUUACGGUUAAUACCCGUGACUACUGACGGUACCGGAAGAAGAAGCACCGGCUAACUACGUGCCAGCAGCCGCGGUAAUACGUAGGGUGCGAGCGUUAAUCGGAAUUACUGGGCGUAAAGCGUGCGCAGGCAGUUUUGUAAGUCAGAUGUGAAAUCCCCGGGCUUAACCUGGGAACUGCGUUUGAAACUACAAAGCUAGGCGUUUGAAACUACAAGGCUAG
rnacentral:rRNA from 1 species